GACGAACGCUGGCGGCGUGCUUAACACAUGCAAGUCGAACGGUGAAGGGACCGGUUUUUGCUGGUUCUGGAUGAGUGGCGAACGGGUGAGUAACACGUGAGUAACCUGCCCCCUUCUUCUGGAUAACCGCAUGAAAGUGUGGCUAAUACGGGAUAUUCUGCGCCUGCUGCAUGGUGGGUGUGGGAAAGAUAUUGUUUCGGUGGGGGAUGGGCUCGCGGCCUAUCAGCUUGUUGGUGGGGUGAUGGCCUACCAAGGCGGUGACGGGUAGCCGGCCUGAGAGGGUGGACGGUCACACUGGGAGUGAGACACGGCCCAGACUCCUACGUGAGGCAGCAGUGGGGAAUAUUGCACAAUGGGCGCAAGCCUGAUGCAGCGACGCCGCGUGAGGGAUGGAGGCCUUCGGGUUGUAAACCUCUUUCGCCAGUGAAGCAGGCCUGUCCCUUUUGUGGGUGGGUUGACGGUAGCUGGAUAAGAAGCGCCGGCUAACUACGUG
rnacentral:rRNA from 1 species